AAAAUCUUCCAACAAGAUAUGUAGUGUUAAAAAAAAGGAAAAUAACGUAAGAAAAUUGGCAAAAGGAAAAGUACCCACUAUGUUGCAUUGAUUCAUUUCCCACCAAAUCCACAAUUUGCUCUCAUUCUCUUCUUUUCAUUUUCCACGCAAAAUCAAAAGUUUUCAACGACAAUUACAUAGAGAAACAAAAAUAAACAAAUGUUGCCUCUUCCUUUUCAUUUUCCUCUAGGCGUUGACCAAUUGAUGUCUUCACAAAUCCAAAGAAGAUCAGAGCCGUAGAGAUUAAGAAGAUUCAAGGACAUGAGCAGCUGGUGAUUCUGUAAUUGAAUGGGAAUGAUUGUGUUCUCCUUCAUAUGUAACAAUUAACAUAGUUGGAUCAUCUAAUGCUCUUUCCACAUGUUUACGUGCUGGACAUCCUCUUACACUACUACAUUUGUAAUAUCCCCUGAAAAUUUAGAGUUCAAUACUAAAUUCUAAUUUAACUCCUAGAACCAAACUUACACUACUACAUUUGUAAUAUCCCCUGAAAAUUUAGAGUUCAAUACUAAACUCUAAUUUAACUCCUAGAACCAAAAUAAUCUACUUAAUAAGCCAUAAAAACUUACCUAGGAUGAGGAGAGCCUUUAAUUGGCU
rnacentral:lncRNA from 1 species